GGCAGACGGGUGAGUAACAUGUGGGAACGUGCCCUUCAGUUCGGAAUAACCCAGGGAAACUUGGGCUAAGACCGGAUACGCCCUUACGGGGAAAGAUUUAUCGCUGAGGGAUCGGCCCGCGUCUGAUUAGCUAGUUGGUGAGGUAAUGGCUCACCAAGGCGACGAUCAGUAGCUGGUCUGAGAGGAUGAUCAGCCACACUGGGACUGAGACACGGCCCAGACUCAUACGGGAGGCAGCAGUGGGGAAUAUUGGACAAUGGGCGCAAGCCUGAUCCAGCCAUGCCGCGUGAGUGAUGAAGGCCCUAGGGUUGUAAAGCUCUUUCGCACGCGACGAUUAUGACGGUAGCGUGAGAAGAAGCCCCGGCUAACUUCGUGCCAGCCGCCGCGG
rnacentral:rRNA from 1 species